rnacentral:tRNA from 1 species
GGGGGUGGAGCUCAGUGGUUAACAGUGUGUGCUUAAUAUGCACAAGGUCCUGAGUUCAAUCCCCAGUAUCCCCA